rnacentral:rRNA from 1 species
GACGAACGCUGGCGGCGUGCCUAAUACAUGCAAGUAGAACGCUGAAGGAGGAGCUUGCUUCUCUGGAUGAGUUGCGAACGGGUGAGUAACGCGUAGGUAACCUGCCUGGUAGCGGGGGAUAACUAUUGGAAACGAUAGCUAAUACCGCAUAAGAGUAGAUGUUGCAUGACAUUUGCUUAAAAGGUGCAAUUGCAUCACUACCAGAUGGACCUGCGUUGUAUUAGCUAGUUGGUGGUGUAACGGCUCACCAAGGCGACGAUAAAUAGCCGACCUGAGAGGGUGAUCGGCCACACUGGGACAGAGACACGGCCCAGACGCCUCCGGGAGGCAGCAGUAGGGAAUCUUCGGCAAUGGACGGAAGUCUGACCGAGCAACGCCGCGUGAGUGAAGAAGGUUUUCGGAUCGUAAAGCACUGUUGUAAGAGGAGAACGAGUGUGGGAGUGGAAAGUUCACACUGUGACGGUAUCUUACCAGAAAGGGACGGCUAACUACGUGC